rnacentral:rRNA from 1 species
GACGUAGGGGGCCAGCGUUGUUCGGAAUUACUGGGUGUAAAGGGUUCGUAGGCGGUGUGGCAAGUCGGGAGUGAAAUCUCUGGGCUCAACUCAGAGACUGCUUCCGAAACUGCUGUGCUGGAGUGUGGGAGAGGCGCGUGGAAUUGCAGGUGUAGCGGUGAAAUGCGUAGAUAUCUGCAGGAACACCCGUGGCGAAAGCGGCGCGCUGGACCACUGACGCUGAGGAACGAAAGCUAGGGGAGCAAACAGG